AUUGAACGCUGGCGGCAUGCUUUACACAUGCAAGUCGAACGGCAGCACGGACUUCGGUCCGGUGGCGAGUGGCGAACGGGUGAGUAAUACAUCGGAACGUACCCAGUAAUGGGGGAUAACUAUCCGAAAGGAUAGCUAAUACCGCAUACGCCCUACGGGGGAAAGAGGGGGAUCGCAAGACCUCUUGUUAUUGGAGCGGCCGAUGGCUGAUUAGCUAGUUGGUGAGGUAAAGGCUCACCAAGGCGACGAUCAGUAGCGGGUCUUAGAGGACGAUCCGCCACACUGGAACUGAGACACGGUCCAGACUCCUACGGGAGGCAGCAGUGGGGAAUCUUGGACAAUGGGCGCAAGCCUGAUCCAGCAAUGCCGCGUGCGUGAAGAAGGCCUUCGGGUUGUAAAGCGCUUUUGUCAGGGAGCAAAUCCUUGUGGCUAAUACCCACCGGGGAUGAGAGUACCUGAAGAAUAAGGACCGGCUAACUACGUGCCAGCAGCCGCGGUAAAAC
rnacentral:rRNA from 1 species